rnacentral:sRNA from 1 species
UUCAUGGCGAAUGUGCACAGAAUGUGGUAGCUCUCAAUGCCACCUUGCGUAAUUGGAAGGCGAUCGCCAAGGAGAUGAGUGUUCGUACCUUUUGCACUCCAGAUAGCGUCAUUAGAAAGCAUAUGCAUGAUACGCACAAGAUCCUGGAGAUGCUCGGCGCGCCUAUUGUCACCUUCCUCGCGUUUCAGGAGCUUCAGGUCAACACACUUUCGCUCAUGAAACAGGAGCAGGAGAAGAGGAUGCAAGCAAUGGGGAGGCAUGGUGUGACGAGAGAGUAUCAUCCACCUUCCCUAUCCCAGCGUGACAAC